rnacentral:rRNA from 1 species
GGAAUAUUGGUCAAUGGGCGAGAGCCUGAACCAGCCAAGUAGCGUGCAGGACGACUGCCCUAUGGGUUGUAAACUGCUUUUAUCAGGGAAUAAAGUGCGGCACGUGUGCCGUUUUGUAUGUACCUGAUGAAUAAGGACCGGCUAAUUCCGUGCCAGCAGCCGCGGUAAUACGGAAGGUCCGGGCGUUAUCCGGAUUUAUUGGGUUUAAAGGGAGCGCAGGCUGGAUUUUAAGCGUGUUGUGAAAUGUACCGGCUCAACCGGUGAUGUGCAGCGCGAACUGGAGUCCUUGAGUGAGUACGACGUCAGCGGAAUUCGUGGUGUAGCGGUGAAAUGCUUAGAUAUCACGAAGAACCCCGAUUGCGAAGGCAGCUGACGAGUCCUUAACUGACGCUAAAGCUCGAAAGUGCGGGUAUCGAACA